AUAAACGACAUGCAAACGCCCAUGGUUACGCACUUGGGCGAAACGAUCGAGCGCACAUAAUUAUGGCGGGAACAUUUUGAAUAGCUGAUAGCCUGAUAGGCAUGCAGGUGAAUGUGGAUGUAUUUUGCCGAAAAGAGUGCAAGCAGGACAGCCUUUGGAAACAACAAUGGCAUUUUAAAUGUCCGACCAAAGCGGCACACGACAACAGAAUUUAAACACCGGAAAUUUGUUCUCAAACUGUAUACCAGCCAGGAUUUCUUCUCCCGAAAUUGUGCCUAUAUCAAGAGGAAAGAUGAAAAGUGCACUGUGGUGAAUACCAGAAUUAACUGGUGUCGGCCAAGACUUCCACUCCUUCGAUCCUGACCCACAAUUGGAAGUGGAACCACCAAUCGUGCAUGCAGUCUGGUCAGCGAUGAACUUGGGAAGCUUUCAUCAGGAGGUGAUAUGGCGGGUCGGAAGAAUAUAGGAGAAUGAGAAGGCAUCCGGAUGUGAUGUGGUUAUCUUUCGGUGAGAUGAGGUCUGACGUCAUUGUUGACUGGCCAAUCAAAUUUCCCAACUGACAGGACCCAGUUUUAUAAUCAGGCAUCAUAGUGACUUUUUUAUCAAACGAACUAUACUAGGUAUCAGUAUCUGAAUAUUUGGA